rnacentral:tRNA from 1 species
CGCGGAGUAGAGUAGCGGUUAAUUCACAAGGCUCAUAACCUUGAGACGUUGGUUCGAAUCCAACCUCCGCAA